rnacentral:rRNA from 1 species
CGCAGCCGCGGUAAUUCCAGCUCCAAUAGCGUAUAUUAAAGUUGUUGCAGUUAAAAAGCUCGUAGUUGAAUUUCGGGAUUAGUACGUUGGUCGUGCCUUCGGUACGUACUGGUGUUACUGAUUCCUACCUUCUGACGAACCAUCAUGUCAUUAAUUUGGUGUGGCGGGGAAUCAGGACUGUUACUUUGAAAAAAUUAGAGUGUUUAAAGCAGGCUCGCGCUUGAAUACAUUAGCAUGGAAUAAUGAAAUAGGACGUUGACCCUAUUUUGUUGGUUUCUAGGAUUGACGUAAUGAUUAAUAGGGAUAGUUGGGGGCAUUAGUAUUCAAUUGUCAGAGGUGAAAUUCUUGGAUUUAUUGAAGACUAACUACUGCGAAAGCAUUUGCCAAGGAUGUUUUCAUUAAUCAAGAACGAAAGUUAGGGGAUCGAAGACGAUCAGAUACCGUCGUAGUCUUAACCAUAAACUAUGCCGACUAGGGAUCGGAUGAUGUUAUUUUUAAUNACGCA